AGUGAAUGGUCACAGAGCCAUGAGCAGGUGGAAGAUGCAGGUGGAGGCAUCUUCCCUGUCACCGUUGGUAUGUCUGGUUGAAACCUGCAACAAGGAAUCAGUCUUCAUGCAACUCUCAGCAACCUCUACUGAGAUCUCUGUUGAAGCAUUGUUUGCAAGAGCAGAUAAUCAGAAACCACCCAAAAAAUCAUAAAGAAGACAUUGGGCAAAUCAACAAUGGUAUGCUGAGAUUUGGAUUGCCAAAUUGACCUUGAAGUGAAGGAGGCAGAUUUGCUUGUAAUAACAAUGAAAGCGAUACAAGAUCUUCUAUUUGAAGUGCAGAAUGUCCCAUUCACCAUGAGACGCUGGUAAAUAAUGUUUUCAUUUUGUGCAGCAUGCCUCCAGUUGUGUAAAGAAUGUAAAAGGGAAAUGUCUCAAAACAGAAGAAGACGCCUGUGGGCAGCACCUUCUGCAGAGUGAUCCUGGGAGCUGGAAAGAAGACUCACUUUUCAUUUUACAACCUUGGGCACUGUAAGGAUAUUUUGGGCUUGGUAUGUGUGUUUUGUUGUUGUUGUUUUUUGUUUGUUUUAUUAUACUUUAAG
rnacentral:lncRNA from 1 species